CAGUCGAGCGCCCGUAGCAAUACGGGAGCGGCAGACGGGUGAGUAACACGUGGGAACGUGCCCUUUGGUUCGGAAUAACUCAGGGAAACUUGAGCUAAUACCGGAUAAGUCCGUAAGGAGAAAGAUUUAUCGCCGAAGGAGCGGCCCGCGUCCGAUUAGCUAGUUGGUGAGGUAAUGGCUCACCAAGGCUACGAUCGGUAGCUGGUCUGAGAGGAUGACCAGCCACACUGGGACUGAGACACGGCCCAGACUCCUACGGGAGGCAGCAGUGGGGAAUAUUGGACAAUGGGCGCAAGCCUGAUCCAGCAAUACCGCGUGUGUGAAGAAGGCCCUAGGGUUGUAAAGCACUUUCAAUUGGGAGGAAAACCUGCCGGUCAAUACCCGGUAGCUUGACAUUACCUUUAGAAGAAGCACCGGCUAACUCCGUGCCAGCAGCCGCGGUAAUACGUAGGCAGCAAGCGUUGUUCGGAAUUACUGGGCGUAAAGAGUACGUAGGUGGUUUGCUAAGUCCGAUGUGAAAUCUCCCGGCUUAACUGGGAGGGUGCGUUAGAUACUGGCAGGCUUGAGUGUGGGAGAGGAGAGCGGAAUUCCUGGUGUAGCGGUGAAAUGCGUAGAUAUCAGGAGGAACGCCUGUGGUGUAGACGGCUCUCUGGACCAUUACUGACACUGAGGUACGAAAGCGUGGGUAGCAAACAGGAUUAGAUACCCUGGUAGUCCACGCCCUAAACGAUGCACACUUGGUGUGGGCAGUUCAGUCUGUCCGUGCCGGAGCUAACGCGUUAAGUGUGCCG
rnacentral:rRNA from 1 species